GUGCUCACUUCAGCAGCAUAUCUACUAAAAUUGGAACAAUACAGAGAUUAGCAUGGGCUCUGCACAAGGGUCACACGCAAAUGCAUGAAGCACUCCAUAUUUUU
ensembl:snRNA U6 U6 spliceosomal RNA